GGCAACCCCCACCCCCAUAUGCCCAAGGUUAUCCUCCUGCCGGGUACCCUCCUGGUGCUUAUCCACCACCACCACCACCUGGUGCUUAUCCUCCAGCACCUGGUUAUCCUCCGGGCGGCUACCCCAAGUGAAUUGGACAGAGAUGCAAAGUGAUAAAGUAAUAUUUACUUAUUGCCCCGUUUAUAGCUAUAACAUUUUGCAGUUUAGCAAUUGAGUUUAAACUUGUCAAUUGAUUACACGUGAAAUAGCUCAUCGUAUAAAAUUAGGAAUGGAUAAAUGAAACUAUAAACACGGGUUAUUCAAUACAGUUUGUGCAAUUUAGUGUUGAAUCCUUAUCGAUGCAAAGAGGAACUUGUUUUUGC
rnacentral:misc_RNA from 1 species